rnacentral:misc_RNA from 1 species
GAUGAAGAACGCAGCGAAAUGCGAUACUUGGUGUGAAUUGCAGAAUCCCGUGAACCAUCGAGUCUUUGAACGCAAGUUGCGCCCGAAGCCAUCAGGUUGAGGGCACGUCUGCCUGGGCGUCACAUAUCGUUGCUCGAUGCCUAUCGCAUUGCGAUAGGACUUAGGGCGAAUGAUGGCUUCCCGUGAGCGUUGUUGCCUCGCGGUUGGUUGAAAAUCGAGUCCUUGGUAGGGUGUGCCAUGAUAGAUGGUGGUCGAGUUAGAACGAGACCGAUCAUGUGCAUGCUCCCCAAAAUAUGGCCUCUGUGACCCACACGCGUCUUUUGACGCUCAUGACGAGACCUCAGGUCAGGCGGGGCUACCCGCUGAAUUUAAGCAUAUCAAUAAGCGGAGGA